GUGAAUCAUCAAAUUUUUGAACGCAAAUUGCACUCUCUGGUAUUCCGGAGAGUAUGUCUGUUUGAGGGUCAGUUUAAAUAAAAAUCGGUGUGGUUGCUGCAUUUCGUGGUGACGCACCGGAUGUGGGUCGUCUCGCCUUAGGUUAAGUAACCUAAAAUUUUGCAUGAUUUUUUUGAACGGAUUUAAAUGAUUUUACGUACGUUUGCGAUGUCGAAUAUUAGGUGCGGA
rnacentral:misc_RNA from 1 species